GACGAACGCUGGCGGCGUGCUUAACACAUGCAAGUCGAACGGAAAGGCCCUGCUUUUGUGGGGUGCUCGAGUGGCGAACGGGUGAGUAACACGUGAGUAACCUGCCCUUGACUUUGGGAUAACUUCAGGAAACUGGGGCUAAUACCGGAUAGGAGCUCCUGCUGCAUGGUGGGGGUUGGAAAGUUUCGGCGGUUGGGGAUGGACUCGCGGCUUAUCAGCUUGUUGGUGGGGUAGUGGCUUACCAAGGCUUUGACGGGUAGCCGGCCUGAGAGGGUGACCGGCAACAUUGGGACUGAGAUACGGCCCAGACUCCUACGGGAGGCAGCAGUGGGGAAUAUUGCACAAUGGGCGGAAGCCUGAUGCAGCAACGCCGCGUGCGGGAUGACGGCCUUCGGGUGGUAAACCGCUUUCGCCUGUGACGAAGCGUGAGUGACGGUAAUGGGUAAAGAAGCACCGGCUAACUACGU
rnacentral:rRNA from 1 species